GACGAACGCUGGCGGCGCGCUUAACACACGCAAGUCGAACGGAAAGGCCUUCUUUCCCUUGUGUUUUGCGGGUACUCGAGUGGCGAACGGGUGAGUAACACGUGAGUGAUCUGCCCCCAACUUGGGUAUAAGCCUGGGAAACUGGGUCUAAUUCCCGAUAGGACUGCAGGGUGGUUCCUGUGGUGGAAAACGAUUUUCUAGUGAUUGAGGAUGAGCUCUCUGCUUAUCUGCUUGUUGGUGGGGUAAUGGCCUACCAAGGCGGCGACUGGUAGCCGGCCUGGGGGAGUGGACCGCAAAAUUGAGCCGGAGAAACGGCCAAGACUCCAACGGGAGGAAGAAGGGGGGAAUAUUGCACAAGGGGGGGAAGCCGGAUGCAGCGACGACGGGUGGGGAAUGACGGCCUUCGGGUUGUAAACUCCUUUCGACAGGGAGGAAGCCAGCUGGUUGGAAGGGUGGUGAAGGUAGUGGAAGAAGAAGCACCGGCUAAAUACGUG
rnacentral:rRNA from 1 species